AAAAAUCUUGUCAUAGAAAAGUAGGAAUAAAUCACACUUGAAAAACUUUCAAAUACUGAUAAGAGUUCAAAACUUAACCUCUGUAGUAAACUUUAAAAUGAGUGUGUAAAAUUUGUAAAAUUUUAGAUGAAGAGGGACACUUUUUCCUUCAUUGCAAAAUCAACAGUUAUAUUAGAAAUCCCCUUAUAAAUGCAAUUAAAUCCCAAAAUCAAAAUGGUAACCUGCUUGACUCAAACUCUUAACUAUUUAAGGUCCCAAUAAAGAUUUGUUGUAGAGCUACUAUAGUAUAUAAAGCAACCCAUUGAAUUGAGAAAACAAGGUCCACAUUGGUCAAUUACCUGACGUAUAUACUUGUAUAUAUGUU
rnacentral:lncRNA from 1 species